rnacentral:rRNA from 1 species
CCUACGGGUGGCAGCAGUGGGGAAUAUUGGGCAAUGGGCGAAAGCCUGAACCAGCAACGCCGCGUGAAGGAAGAAGGCUUUAGGGUUGUAAACUUCUUUUGACAGGGAAGAGAAGAAGACGGUAACUGUCGAAUAAGCCAGGGAUAACUCUGCGCCAGCAGCCGGGGUUAUAGGGAGGGGGCAAGUGUCGUCCGGAUUUACUGGGUGGAAAGGGCGUGGAGGCGGGGUGACAAGUCAGAUGUGAAAUCCGGGGGCGCAACCCCCGAACUGCAUUUGAAACUGUUUGUCUUGAGUAUGGGAGAGGCAGGCGGAAUUCCUGGUGUAGCGGUGAAAUGCGUAGAUAUUAGGAGGAACACCAAUGGCGAAGGCGGCCUGCUGGACGACAACUGACGGUGAGGCGCGAAAGCGUGGGGAGCAAACAGGAUUAGAUACCCGGGUAGUC